AGAGUUUGAUCAUGGCUCAGAAUCAACGCUGGCGGCGUGCCUAACACAUGCAAGUCGAACGCGAAAGUCCCGCAAGGGAUUAGUAGAGUGGCAAACGGGUGAGUAACACGUGGGUGACCUGCCUUCGAGUGGGGGAUAACGUCCCGAAAGGGACGCUAAUACCGCAUAACAUCCUGCCUUUGAAGAGGUGGAGAUCAAAGCCGGGGACCGCAAGGCCUGGCGUUCGAAGAGGGGCCCGCGCCUGAUUAGCUAGUUGGUGAGGUAACGGCCCACCAAGGCUUCGAUCAGUAUCCGGCCUGAGAGGGCGGACGGACACACUGGGACUGAGACACGGCCCAGACUCCUACGGGAGGCAGCAGUGGGGAAUUGUUCGCAAUGGGCGCAAGCCUGACGACGCAACGCCGCGUGGAGGAUGAAGACCUUCGGGUCGUAAACUCCUUUCGAUCGAGACGAAUGGUCUCCGGGUGAACAAUCCGGAGAAGUGACGGUACCGAGAGAAGAAGCCCCGGCUAACUCCGUGCCAGCAGCCGCGGUAAUACGGGGGGGGCAAGCGUUGUUCGGAAUUACUGGGCGUAAAGGGCUCGUAGGCGGCCAACUAAGUCAGACGUGAAAUCCCUCGGCUUAACCGGGGAACCGCGUCUGAUACUGGAUGGCUUGAGAUUGGGAGAGGGAUGCGGAAUUCCAGGUGUAGCGGUGAAAUGCGUAGAUAUCUGGAGGAACACCGGUGGCGAAGGCGACAUCCUGGACCAACACUGACGCUGAGGAGCGAAAGCCAGGGGAGCAAACGGGAUUAGAUACCCUGGUAGUCCUAGCCCUAAACCAUGACUGCUUGGUGUGACGGGUACCCAAUCCCGCCGUGCCGUAGCUAACGCGUUAAGCAGUCCGCCUGGGGAGUACGGUCGCAAGGCUGAAACUCAAAGGAAUU
rnacentral:rRNA from 1 species